UACAACCCAUACCUUACCCCUGUGUGCCCGCUCUCUCUCUCGGGAGCGGGUUGCACAACCACACACACACGGCUCAGAGAGAGUCUCUCUCUCUCUUUGCCCGACCCACAAACCGUUUGGUUUUUUGCCGCUUGACGCCACCAAGGCUUCAACGACGGCCCCAACAACGUGUCGCGAUGGAUGACUUGGCUUCCUAUUUCGUUGAAGAACGCAGUAAAGUGCGAUAAGUGGUAUCAAUUGCAGAACCCUUUAUUACCGAAUUUUUGAACGCAAACGGCGCAUGGGAGAAGCUCUUCCGAGUCAUCCCCGUGCAUGCCAUAUUUCUCAGUGUCGAAC
rnacentral:rRNA from 1 species